UCUCUCUCUCUCUCUAAAUUAUUACUUGCAUCUGCUAUGCCACAUCAUCUGUACACUGCCCUCCAUCGCAUCUCGUAUCUUCAAUCCAAGUGAACAUACUAUCUCAUGCGUUCAAUCCAACAAUUUAAAAACAAACAUCUUGUAUAGUAAUAAUUGGGGUACUAUAGAAUAUCCUUCUAAAUGCUCAUGACAAGUCUGCUGUUUGACAUGACACUUCAUUAAACCACCAAACCAAAAGAAUGAAAUGAAUCAGUAAUCAAAAGGUCUAUAAAAAAAUUUUGAGUCAUCAACCUAGGAUGUAAGAUUUACACCUAUCUUGAAAAUG
rnacentral:lncRNA from 1 species